rnacentral:rRNA from 1 species
GACGAACGCUGGCGGCGUGCCUAAUACAUGCAAGUCGAGCGAACAGACCAGGAUGUUUUUAGUCCUUCGACUGAGUGACACGAGAUACAAACGAGCGGAUGACGUGCGUGUAACACGUGGAUAACCUGGGCAAGAGGCUGGGAACACAGCUGGAUAUAUUGACUCAUAUCGGUUAAUAGCAAUAGACGCAUGUCUAGUCUUUGAUAGAUGGUUCUGCUCUCAAUCUUGUAUUGGCCCGCGGUGCAUUAGCUAGUUGGUAAGGUAACGGCUUACCAAGGCAACGAUGCGUAGCCGAGUUGAGAGACUGAUCGGCCACAUUGGAACUGAGACACGGCCCAGACUCCUACGGGAGGCAGCAGUAGGGAAUCUUCCACAAUGGGCGAAAGUCUGAUGGAGCAACGCCGCGUGAGUGAAGAAGGUUUUCGGCUCGUAAAGCUCUGUUGGUAGGGAAGAAAGAUAGUGGUAGUAACUGGGCACUAUUUGACGGUAACUACUUAGAAAGCCACGGCUAACUACGUG